CACACAUGUGGCCGUCAGAGGACGAAAACUGGCCCUCUCCUUCCACUCUUUUGAGGGAUUGCCCUUAGGGCCACAUGCUAACUUUGCCACUGAUCUACAACCCCAGCCCUCCAGGCGAUUUUAUCGCCUGAGAAGAGGAGAAAAACAUUAGCCCAGUGACAGCAGGGUGGAGAGACAGACGGCACUUUGGGCUGCUGACCAUGAGGUCACCGUCCUGAUGAUUCACACGCAGCCAAGCCAUCUUGUGGGCAAGUGGGAGAAGCUGCCAUCCGAUGCUUUAGUCAUAAAGAAGGGUGACUGGCCGUCAUCUGGGGUUUCCUAUCUGAACAGUCAGAAUGCCAUUUGAAAAAGACAUGGCUGCUUGCUGUCACCCUGUGGAGGUGGUGUCUGUCAGGCAGCUGACCUACAGGAGAUUCUCCCAAACACCAUGAAGCCUCUCUCCCAGCAGGAAGCAAAGUCAGUAUUAGAUUUUACCCUCUCCUCCACAGGGAGCAGCACCUCCAAAGCCAGAUCCAGGUUUGUAGCAUCCCCUGCCUACACCACCGAAAGAUGGAGAGGAGGACACCGGCGGGUCAAGCACAGACAGAAGCGAAGCUUCAAGCCAGCACAUUGACUGUGGCAGCAGAAUUCCAAGAUGGCUCUAAGACUGUCCUCUCCAGUGUCACACCCUCUUCCCAAUCAUCCAGUCACAUAGGUCUGAUUCGAUGAGAUGGGCUCUUUCAAUCUGGUCUAGAGGUCAGAGACAGGCCAAUGAGAGAGGAUCUCAGUAUAAGAAAGAUGAUAUGGGAGUAACUGGGCUAGCAGGAAUGAAGGUAUCCCACAUAGACACUUGGGCCUCUGUAUUUGCCGGUCAAACUCUUAAAACAGUGAUCCCCAACAACUUGGACUAUCUCCUGGAAUCACCCGUUAGGAGAAGGAAAAGGCUGGCACUUAGUGCCAACCAAAGGAGGGGUUUGUCUCCCAGGAAGUUUCCAUACAGUCCUGACGGUUCAUCAGACCAUCUCCUGAGAGAGACCGGAGCUGAGCCAGUGACAGUCAGUGAUGGGCAGGACCACACCUUGCCAGGACUGCUCCACCAUACAAGCUCCUCUCUCCUUCUAGUCAAGCCUACGCUUCGUGCCAGGGCCCUGGAGAUGGGGCUGGGGAAAUCACUGGGCUGCUUUGUUCCCCUUCUCGGAGUUGCUGUAUCGAAUAAAUCCCCUUGCUCUGCUUUUCAAUAUGAUUUGUUUAACUGUCCGUUUGAGGACAGAUGGCCAAGCCUCACUAAUCAGAGCUUCCAGGGUGCUCAAGCUCUGACCCUGAUAACUCCAGUAACUGGAAGAAUCCAUGACUGGUUUUAAAGCAAAGGGGCCAUGGGAUACAGAAUUUGAAAGGACUCAGAGCUGAGCACUCUCAGGGGACAUUGUCAAGAUUAGAGUCACGGACACUCACUCUACGUAGAUUCGCUCAGGAGAGAUAAAUAAGGAGUACCCGUCAUGAGAGACCAACAUUUGAAACCCAGGCAUGGAGCAAGAGCUCUAAGAAGACUGCCCCAAGGGCUUGGAAAGCAAAGCAACUGACUCUGGAUCAAGAAAGGAUGGAACUGCACAUGAAGGACACAGCAUGAGCCAGGAACAGAAGCUCAGUGCUUA